UACGUAGGUGUCGAGCGUUAUCCGGAAUUACUGGGCGUAAAGGGCACGCAGGCGGCUGCUCAAGUCUGACGUGAAAACUCCCGGCUUAACCGGGAGAGGCCGUUGGAAACUGAGUAGCUUGAGGCAAUGAGAGGGGUGCGGAAUUCCCGGUGUAGUGGUGGAAUGCGUAGAUAUCGGGAAGAACACCAGUGGCGAAAGCGGCAUCCUGGCAUUGGCCUGACGCUCAUGUGCGAAAGCGUGGGUAGCGAAC
rnacentral:rRNA from 1 species